rnacentral:miRNA from 1 species
GGUUCCCUCUCCAAAUGUGUCU